rnacentral:rRNA from 1 species
GAUGAACGCUGGCGGCGUGCCUAAUACAUGCAAGUCGAGCGAACGGACGAGAAGCUUGCUUCUCUGAUGUUAGCGGCGGACGGGUGAGUAACACGUGGAUAACCUACCUAUAAGACUGGGAUAACUUCGGGAAACCGGAGCUAAUACCGGAUGAUAUUUUGAACCGCAUGGUUCAAAAGUGAAAGACGGUCUUGCUGUCACUUAUAGAUGGAUCCGCGCUGCAUUAGCUAGUUGGUAAGGUAACGGCUUACCAAGGCAACGAUGCAUAGCCGACCUGAGAGGGUGAUCGGCCACACUGGAACUGAGACACGGUCCAGACUCCUACGGGAGGCAGCAGUAGGGAAUCUUCCGCAAUGGGCGAAAGCCUGACGGAGCAACGCCGCGUGAGUGAUGAAGGUCUUCGGAUCGUAAAACUCUGUAAUUAGGGAAGAACAUAUGUGUAAGUAACUGUGCACAUCUUGACGGUACCUAAUCAGAAAGCCACGGCUAACUACGUG